AGGAAAAAAAAAGGCACGCCCCUCCGCUUCCGGUCUUCCCUCCCCUGCCGGACCUUCGCCAGCCGGCGCGUCUCCAGGCUCCAGGCUGCAGCGUACUACUGCUAUUGCAGUUCCGCAUCGCCCAUGGAGCUCGCGGUGAGAGCCGCGGCGGCUUCGUGCUCCUCCUCCCCGUCGCUCCAUCCCCCACGCGUCCCCUGCCGCCUUGGCCGCAACCCAGGCCUGCCGUUGCCGGCUCGCCGGGUGGCCGUCGCCGCGGCGGCCAUCGCACUCGACCCGUUUCAGGAGUUCAAAACCUAGCUGAAUGACGCUUCAAAACCGAGGUGUUUGCAUGCCCUGUUUGCUAUGGACCGCUGAUAAGUAAAGGGCUGCCAGGCCAGCGAUUUAUAGGUCCGGAUUCAAGUGUUCAAAAUGCAACAAGUCAUUCACCAGCAAAGAAGUCUUCUUGGAUCUCACUGUCACCUCAGGGAUGAAAGAAUACAGUGAACUGAAGGCUGCUAGAAGAGCUGUUCAGGAGCCCGCUCGUCUCCUUUCUUUAGGGGGUGGCGUCAGAACUUCAAUCGGAGUGGCUUCCCUGGCCGCGAUGAAGAGGUACAUUUCUUGGCUGCCUCAUUCUUCAAUUCCCUUCCUUUAAGAGCAUCUACAGCCGGGACCCCUAUUUCCCCCCUAAACGUCCGAAAUGUCCACCCGGUCAAUGUCUAGUCUAAAAAGCUAACCCAACCGGGGUCCUCAUUUCUUCCCUAAACGCCCGGACUGACCGGCGUAUCUCAAAUCGAGACCAAAUCUGGGGGCGAUAUGAGGGUGCCCGGUCACGCCCGGACACCCUCAUUUCUUCCCUAAACGCACGGACUGACCGGCAUAUCUCAAAUCGAGACCAAAUCUGGGGGCGAUAUGAGGGUGCCCGGUCACGCCGGACACCCUCAUACAAGUCGGUACGGCGCCGAUACUGCACCGGCACCCGCUGCCUGGAGGUGUUGGUGGUGAAGCUGAAUGAAAACGAAGGAUUCAGAGUCCCAGGUGUUGUUGUUCCCUGCAAGCAAGGUAACCUGGCAUCAAAGAUUAUGAACAUGGAAUGGAAGAAGCUUCAGAUAAGGAGUGCACAAGAGACGAGUUGGGCAUGGGCAUCAGCAACAGAGAUUACCUCCAGUGGCUGCAGUACUUUCUUCUCUUUGAAAAUGUCGUGGGAUCACUUGGCAGCACUGCCAAGCAAUAGGCUAGACUGCCGUUAUUUCUGUCGCUAGCUGCUGUAAAUAGUCUCAUCAUUGUCAUCACCUGGAAACAAAACCAUUUCUGUUUACAAACACAUCAUCCAUAUAUGGAUAUAUAAUUAGAAAAGAGUAGUACUUCACAUAGAUAAACUACGUUGUUCUGAAUCAUUACCAACCAUGUUGCACCAGCAUGUCGAAUCUUGGAAAAUUAAUCUAUAACAUGAUAAAUCAAUUAAAAUGAUACCUUCGAAGAGAAGGUGUAGUGCAGGCAAAGAUGCAUCACAAUGGCUAAUCGGGACAAAAUACCGUACAUGAAUGCUUCAGACAAUUGAGCAGAAAGAUUCAGAACAUUUUGGAGAACGUACGGCUUGAAUAAUGACCAAAAGAAACGAUUCAAGAAUGCUAGUGCAUGUAACCACCGAAUGAAAUGAGUCCGCGUCACUACUCACUUUAUUUGCAGUUGGGCCCCAAGCAAAAAUCCUCUUCGGCUUGAAUUUGGAGGUCUCUUUUCCUUCUUUAUCAAUAGAAUAUAUGAAGUUUCUCCUACACGUUUCUUUAUUUAUUCAAUAAAAUGGAUGAGUCGAUACAACACAAUACUCUCUAAUGGAUGAGUCAACACAACACAUUACAUUCUACGAGCACAUGGUUGGUCCCUCCUCCUUUUUCCGGGCUUGGGACCGGCUAUGCAAUUGUAAGUGUUACCUUAAAAUGGCAUAGGCGGAGUUCCACCCCCAUCCCCAUCCCACAUAAACACA